GGCCCCCGCGCAGGCCCGACCCCGCCCCAGCGCGCAGCCCGCGCUGCCAUUGGCGCCGCGCGCAGCCCGGCUGAACUGCCGGGGAGAGGCGAGGGAGACGCGCACCGGCCCGCGAGCGGGGGCCGGAGCUGGGGGCUUAGGGCAGCAGGUAGCGAGGCCGAGCCCCUCUCUCCAGGACGCCCUAUUCAAGCCAGGGUGUCAGUUGCUGACGAAUCAGCUUAAUCCCCCCCAAAGUGAGCCAACUCCCGCGCCCUUGGCGUUUGCUGGGCGGAAGCUCCUUCGCCUUAACCAAGCGCGGGUUCCGUGUUCCUGAACUGAGACCACGGGCACGUCGGCUCUUUUCAGAAGGUCAAGCGGCUAAUCCUCGAAGUCAUCCGGCAUAGCCAGAGUCUGUUUUUUCCCCCCGUCCGAAAUGGCAAUUGUAACAGCCACAGGGCUCCCAGGAGACGUGGGUGCAAUAACGCUUCAUGCCCAGUGUGGAGUCCAGUUUGAGGCUUGAACUCUGGAACC